AACGAACGCUGGCGGCAGGCUUAACACAGGCAAGUCGAACGCGUGUAGCAAUACACGAGUGGCGCACGGGUGAGUAACACGUGGAUAUCUACCUUUUGGUUCGGAAUAACCCUGGGAAACUAGGGCUAAUACCGGAUGGCUCCUACGGGAUAAAGAUUUAUCGCCAAAAGAUGAGUCCGCGUCCGAUUAGCUAGUUGGUGAGGUAAUGGCUCACCAAGGCGACGAUCGGUAGCUGGUCUGAGAGGACGAUCAGCCACACUGGGACUGAGACACGGCCCACACACCUACGGGUGGCAGCAGUUGGGAAUCUUGCACAAUGGGGGAAACCCUGAUGCAGCGACGCCGCGUUGAGGAUGAAGGGUCUAGGCCUGUAAACUCCUUUUCUCGGGAAAGACUUAGGACGGUACCCGAGGAAUAAGCACCGGCUAACUACGUGCCAGCAGCCGCGGUGAGACGUAGGGUGCAAGCGUUGUCCGGAUUUACUGGGCGUAAAGCGCGCGUAGGCGGUCUGUUAAGUGUAGAGUGAAAGCUCCGGGCUCAACCCGGAAAUUGCUCUGCAUACUGGCAGACUUGAGGGAUGCAGAGGUUUGUGGAAUUCCUGGUGUAACGGUGAAAUGUGUUGAUAUCAGGAGGAACACCCAUGGCGAAAGCAGCAAACUGGGCAUCAUCUGACGCUGAGGCGCGAAAGCGUGGGUAGCAAACAGGAUUAGAUACCCUGGUAGUCCACGCCCUAAACGAUGGAUACUAGGCGUAGAAAGGUAUCGACCCCUUCUGUGCCGCAGCUAACGCAUUAAGUAUCCCGCCUGGGGACUACGGCCGCAAGGUUGAA
rnacentral:rRNA from 1 species